rnacentral:rRNA from 1 species
AAAAACCGCUGGCGGCGGUGCCUAACCACGUGCAAGUCGUACGAGAAAAGUCGGCUUCGGCCGAUGAGUACAGUGGCGCACGGGUGAGUAGCGCGUGGGUAAUCUCGCCCCCCGGUCAGGAAAUUAACCCGCCGAAAAGGCGGGCUAAUACCCGAUAACACUGACGCUCCGCGGAGCGUCUUUCAAAGAAGGCCUCUGUUUACAAGCUUUCGCCGGAGGAUGAGCCCGCGUACCAUUAGCUAGUUGGCAGGGUAAUGGCCUACCAAGGCUACGGUGGUUAGCUGGUCUGAGAGGAUGGCCAGCCACACUGGAACUGAGACACGGUCCAGACUCCGUACGGGAGGCAGCAGGUGGGGAAAUCUUGCGCAAGUGGGGGAAACCCUGACGCAGCAACGCCGCGUGAGUGAGGAAGGCCGUUCGGGUACGUAAAGCUCUGUCAGAGUGGGAAAGAAAUGGAUGGGGGGCUAAUAUCGCCCAUCCUUGACGGUACCAUCAGAGGAAGCACCGGCUAACUCCGUG